rnacentral:rRNA from 1 species
AUUGAACGCUGGCGGCAGGCCUAACACAUGCAAGUCGAGCGCGAAAGGUUUUCGGACUGAGUAAAGCGGCGGACGGGUGAGUAAUGCAUGGGAAUCUGCCUGGUAGUGGGGGACAACGUUUCGAAAGAGACGCUAAUACCGCAUACGCCCUACGGGGGAAAGGGGGGGAGUCUUCGGACCUCUCGCUAUCAGAUGAGCCCAUGUCAGAUUAGCUUGUUGGUGAGGUAAAGGCUCACCAAGGCGACGAUCUGUAACUGGUCUGAGAGGAUGAUCAGUCACACUGGAACUGAGACACGGUCCAGACUCCUACGGGAGGCAGCAGUGGGGAAUAUUGGACAAUGGGGGCAACCCUGAUCCAGCCAUGCCGCGUGUGUGAAGAAGGCCUUAGGGUUGUAAAGCACUUUCAGUGGGAGAAGGUAAUUCACCUAAUACGUGAGUUAAUUGAUGUUACCCACAGAAGAAG